rnacentral:rRNA from 1 species
AUAAAAGCCAAAGUAAGGCUUUAGGGGGAUGCCUAGGUAGAACGAGAAAGGACGUAUCACGCGACGAAAUGUUAUGGGGAGGAGCGUAAUCCCUGAGAUCCAUAGCUUUCCUAAGGGGAAACCCGGAAACGAUGUUUACAUCGUGAUGUACAAUAACCAAGGGAACUGAAACAUCUAAGUACCUUGAGGAAAAGAAAUCAACCGAGACUCCGUCAGUAGUGGUGAGCGAAAGCGGAAUAGGCCAUCAAACAUAAAAUAGAUUGAAGAUUAUUAAGUUGAAAGAGUGUGGAAUCCUCUGCUAUAAAAGGUGAAAGCCCUGUAAACAUAAAUAUAUUUUCAUCUUAGUUUGAGAAGAGUACAUCGAGAAUAUACCUUGAUGGAAGAUAGGGGGACCACCCUCUAAGCCUAAGUACUCCGUUCUAACCGAGAGUGAACAAGUACCGUGAGGGAAAGGAGAAAAGAACCCUAAAAAGGGAGUGAAAAGACACUGAAACCUAAAGCCGACGAACAGUUGGAGCUUUCUUUGUAUGAAGAGAGUGACAACGUACCUUUUGCAUAAUGGGUCAGCGAGUCAAGUUUUAUAGCAAGCUUAAGCCGAUAGGUGGAGGCGAAGGGAAAUCCGUAUAAUAAAGUUCUAGAACUUGAACCCGAAACCGGGUGAUCUAGUCACGAGCAGAUUGAAGAAAGGGUAAAACUUUUUGGAGGAUCGAACCCACGUCUGUAGCAAUAGGCGGGGAUGACUUAUGACUAGGGGUGAAAAGCCAAUCGAACUCGGAGAUAGCUGGUUUUCUGCGAAAUCUAUUUAGGUAGAGCGUUUUUUGAAAAUGUAUUUGGGGGUAGAGCACUCUCUGGGUAAGGGUUGCCCAAAGCGAUACCAAGCUCAUGGAAACUCCGAAUACCAAAUACAAUGUUGAUAAAACAGACCAAAAAACAGACAGACUUUGGGCGCAAAGGUCCAAAGUCGAGAGGGAAAAAGCCCAGAUCACACGCUAAGGUUCCCAAACAUAGACUUAGUGGGAAAAGAUGAUAUCGAAGAUUUAUAAUCUUCAUGAGCAAUGACAACCAGGAGGUGGGCUUGGAAGCAGCCAUCCUUUCAAGAAAGCGUAAGAGCUCACUGGUCGAGCUUACUAUCACUGAAAAUGUAACGGAGCUUAAGUCUAUUACCGAAGCGGUGGGAAUAUAUUUAAAUAUAUUCGGUAGCAGAACGUUUUGUAGUCGAUGAAGGUAUUUCGUGAGAAAUACUGGAGAAAUCAAAAGUGAGAAUGCUGACAUGAGUAACGAAAAUCAUGUGAAAAACAUGAUCGCCGAAUAGUGAAGGGUUUCUACAGAAGUUUAUCGAUGUAGAGUUAAUCGGUCCCUAAGAGAAAAGCGAAAGCUGUACUUAAUGGGAAAUAAAAAAAGACAAUCUUUUUUUUAUGUGGAUAUGUGACGUUGAUUUAGAAGUUCCAUUUAUUGAUUGGAUUAUUAGAUGGGAAUUCAAAUUAACCAGGAAAGAAGGUAUCCAAAAUGCACCGUACCCUAAACCGCCACAGGUCACUGAGUGUAAAUGCACUAAGGCGAUUGAGAGAACUACGUUGAAGGAACUCGGCAAAUUACCUCCGUAACUUCGGGAUAAGGAGGACCUUCAAUGGUCUUUAUAGAUAAAUGAGAAGGUGGCACAAAAAAGGGGGUGGCGACUGUUUACUAAAAACACAGGACUCUGCAAAAUCGUAAGAUGAGGUAUAGGGUCUGACGCCUGCCCAGUGCUGGAAACUUAAAGGGAAAGGUGCGAAUUUAUUCAAGCUUCGAACUGAAGGUCCAGUAAACGGCGGCUAUAACUCUGAUAGUCCUAAGGUUGAUACAUAAAUCACGCUCACUUCAUAAUCAUGAAGUUGAUUCGCAGCCUUAGUAAAACUAAACCAUAUGCUGGAACAUCCUCCAAAACCGACGAGUACCAGGCGAUUUUAUCGCUUGUGUGACAAUCUCGAGGACACGGGGACAAUCAGCAGGAAAGACUUUAAGAGGAGACUCUUGAAGAAUCCUCAGAGACUUAACGUUUAGUACUCACCCAUUCCUAUGAACAAAAGUUCAUUCAACACAAAGAAAAAAUCGAAUUAUGGCGAUGAAAUUAGAAGCUCAAUGGAUCGUCGGAUUUACCGACGGAGAAGGAUGCUUUCAUGUUGGAGUCAACAACAAUUCAAAACUUCGUUUUGGAAAACAGAUUCUUCCUGAAUUUGUGAUUGUACAGCACCAACGGGAUCUUCCUUUGCUCUACGCACUGAAAGAAUAUUUUGGUUGUGGAAUAGUCCGAGUUUCACGUCAAUAUCCAACGGGAAAUGUUUAUGCAUAUAGGGUUCGAAGUAUAAAGCAUCUCGAUGAGAUCAUUCUGCCAUUUUUUGAAAAAUAUUCUUUGAAGACGCAAAAACGGUUGGACUUCAUCUUUUUAAAAGGUGUUGUUCGUAGUCUUAUAAAAAAAGACCAUUUGGAUUUUGAUUCUUUUCAACAUUUAAUUGAGAAGAUUGAAAAAUUGAGAAGAUUGAAAAAUGGCGUCAAUCAACGCUCAUUAGUGCAAAAAGCGCAAAGAGACUGAUGAUGAUAAUACUACUAUCUAGCAGAGUUUUAUGAAAGUAAAACUGGAUGGACGCGGAAGUUUUUGUGAGGCAUGGCAAUGUGAGUAAAGAUAAAGUCCGGCCAUAGCUGAAAGGUUAUGGGUAAAACGAGCGAAAUUCCUUGUCACAUAAUUGGUGACCCGCAUGAAUGGCGUCACGACUGCCCCACUGUCUCCAACGUAGACUCAGUGAAAUUGAAUUCUCCGUGCAGAUGCGGAGUACUCGAAAAAAGACGGUAAGACCCUAGCACCUUUACUAUAGUCUAUCAUUGACACCCUUAGAAAAUUGUGUAGGAUAGGUGGGAGAUGAAUAAUCAACCUUGAAAUACCACCCUGUUUUCUAAGGUGGUCUUAUCUUUUUAAAAUUGAAAGAGACAUUGAUCGAUGGGUAGUUUCAUUGGGGCGAUGGUUUCCUAAAGAGUAACGGAAGCGUGCGAAGGUAGACUCAAACUGGUCGGAAAUCAGUUGUAGAGCGUAAUGGUACAAGUCUGCCUGACUGUGAGACCUACAAGUCGAACAGAAACGAAAGUUGGCCAUAGUGACCCGGGAGUUCCGCGUGGAAGGGCUCUCGCUUAACGGAUCAAAGGUACGCUAGGGAUAACAGGCUGAUGACUCCUAAGAGCUCCUAUCGACGGAGUCGUUUGGCACCUCGAUGUCGACUCAUCGCAUCCUGGAGUUGAAGAAGAUUCCAAGGGUUCGGCUGUUCGCCGAUGAAAGCGGUACGUGAGUUGGGUUUAGUGCGUUGAGAAACAGUACGGAUCCUAUCUUUUUCGAGUGACACUAGGGUUUUUCUUUUAAGAAAAAUGUCCUAGAUAAAACUGCGAGAAUCAUUCUCUUGUACGAGAGGACCGAGAAUGGUGAACCUCUUGUGUACCAGUUGUCGUGCCAACGGCAAUACGCUGGGUAGCUACGUUCAAAUCGAAGAACCGCUGAAAGCCUCUCAAGCGGGAAAUCGUGUCUCAAAACAAGUUUCAGAACGCGUAGAAGAUCACUACGUAAUAGGCGAGAUGUGUACAAAUCGUAAGAUUUUAAGCUAACUCGUACUAAUGUGGCUUUUUUA